rnacentral:rRNA from 1 species
GACGAACGCUGGCGGCGUGCUUAACACAUGCAAGUCGAACGGAAAGGCCCUGCUUUUGUGGGGUGCUCGAGUGGCGAACGGGUGAGUAACACGUGAGUAACCUGCCCUUGACUUUGGGAUAACUUCAGGAAACUGGGGCUAAUACCGGAUAGGAGCUCCUGCUGCAUGGUGGGGGUUGGAAAGUUUCGGCGGUUGGGGAUGGACUCGCGGCUUAUCAGCUUGUUGGUGGGGUAGUGGCUUACCAAGGCUUUGACGGGUAGCCGGCCUGAGAGGGUGACCGGCCACAUUGGGACUGAGACACGGCCCAGACUCCUACGGGAGGCAGCAGUGGGGAAUAUUGCACAAUGGGCGGAAGCCUGAUGCAGCAACGCCGCGUGCGGGAUGACGGCCUUCGGGUUGUAAACCGCUUUCGCCUGUGACGAAGCGCGAGUGACGGUAAUGGGUAAAGAAGCACCGGCUAACUACGUG